UACAGAGGGUGCGAGCGUUGUUCGGAAUUACUGGGCGUAAAGGGCGCGUAGGCGGCCUUCUAAGUCGAACGUGAAAUCCCCGGGCUCAACCCGGGAACUGCGUCCGAUACUGGAAGGCUUGAAUCCGGGAGAGGGAUGUGGAAUUCCAGGUGUAGCGGUGAAAUGCGUAGAUAUCUGGAGGAACACCGGUGGCGAAGGCGACAUCCUGGACCGGUAUUGACGCUGAGGCGUGAAAGCCAGGGGAGCAAGCGGG
rnacentral:rRNA from 1 species